GUAGGGAAUCUUCGGCAAUGGACGAAAGUCUGACCGAGCAACGCCGCGUGAGUGAAGAAGGUUUUCGGAUCGUAAAACUCUGUUGGUAGAGAAGAACGUUGGUGAGAGUGGAAAGCUCAUCAAGUGACGGUAACUACCCAGAAAGGGACGGCUAACUACGUGCCAGCAGCCGCGGUAAUACGUAGGUCCCGAGCGUUGUCCGGAUUUAUUGGGCGUAAAGCGAGCGCAGGUGGUUUAUUAAGUCUGGUGUAAAAGGCAGUGGCUCAACCAUUGUAUGCAUUGGAAACUGGUAGACUUGAGUGCAGGAGAGGAGAGUGGAAUUCCAUGUGUAGCGGUGAAAUGCGUAGAUAUAUGGAGGAACACCGGUGGCGAAAGCGGCUCUCUGGCCUGUAACUGACACUGAGGCUCGAAAGCGUGGGGAGCAAACAGGAUUAGAAACCCCGGUAGUCC
rnacentral:rRNA from 1 species